rnacentral:rRNA from 1 species
ACUCCUACGGGAGGCAGCAGUGAGGAAUAUUGGACAAUGGGGCAAGCCCAUCGAUCUAGCCAUGCCGCGUGCAGUGAUGAAGGCCCUAGGGUUGUAAAAGGCCUCGUUUCAGUACGUGAAUGAUAAUGAACGGUAAGCGAGCAGAAGAAGCCCAGGCCUGAAACUCCGUGCCAGCAGCCGCGGUAAUACGGAGGGCGUAGCGUUGUCCGGAAUUAUUGGGCGUAAAGAGCUCGUAGGCGGUUUGUCACGUCUGCUGUGAAAAUCCAAGGCUCAACCUUGGACUUGCAGUGGGUACGGGCAGGCUAGAGUGCGGUAGGGGAGAUGGGAAUUCCUGGUGUAGCGGUGGAAUGCGCAGAUAUCAGGAGGAACACCAAUGGCGAAGGCACAUCUCUGGGCCGUAACUGACGCUGAGGAGCGAAAGCGUGGGGAGCGAACAGGAUUAGAUACCCUGGUAGGUCAGUC